CUGGAGGUAUCAGAAGUGCGAAUGCUGACAUAAGUAACGAUAAAGCGGGUGAAAAGCCCGCUCGCCGGAAGACCAAGGGUUCCUGUCCAACGUUAAUCGGGGCAGGGUGAGUCGACCCCUAAGGCGAGGCCGAAAGGCGUAGUCGAUGGGAAACAGGUUAAUAUUCCUGUACUUGGUGUUACUGCGAAGGGGGGACGGAGAAGGCUAUGUUGGCCGGGCGACGGUUGUCCCGGUUUAAGCGUGUAGGCUGGUUUUCCAGGCAAAUCCGGAAAAUCAAGGCUGAGGCGUGAUGACGAGGCACUA
rnacentral:rRNA from 1 species